rnacentral:pre_miRNA from 1 species
AAUCGAUCUGAGAAGAAGGUUGAUUGGCGGCGGUGGUGGUGGUGUGAAUACAGUUAUGAGGAGAAAAAUGGUUGUUUUUAUCGGAGGAUGGUGGUGAACGGAGAUCAGCGACGGUCGCCGGUGGUCAAUGGUCGGAAAGAAGAGCGGUG